AAUCUUAUUUAAAUAACAGAUUAACAGAGUUGGAAGGGACCUUGGUGGUCAUCCAGUUCAACCCCCUGCCAAAGAAGGAGACCCUAACCCAUUUCUGACAAAUGGCAGUCCAAGCUCUUCUUGAAAGUCUCAAGUGAUGAAGCUGGCAAAACUUCUGAAGGCAAUUUCUGUUCCAUAGGUUGAUUGCUCUCACU